rnacentral:rRNA from 1 species
GGAGGCAGCACUGGGGAAUGCUAUGCAAUGGGUGAAAACAAGACAGUGCAAUUCUGAAUCAGUGAAGAUGGCAAUAGGGUAGUAAACGUUUUUUGAUCGGGAAGAAUCAGUGACGGUACCCAUAGAAGAAGCAUCGUCAAACUCCGUGCCAGCAGUCGCGGUAAGACGGGGGACGCUAGUGUUAUCUGGAAUCACUGGGCGUAAAGCGUGUGUAGGUGAUAUAUGCAAGUCAAAGGUGCAAAAUUCUAGCGCUCAACUUACGAUAAGUCAAUGAAACGGUAUAAUUAGAGUGUGGGAGGGGUAGUACGAAUUCCCAGAGUAACGGUGAAAUGCUUAGAUACUGGGAAGAACACGAGAGGAGAAACCGUUGCAUUGGACACACAACUAACCCUGAGAGACGAAAGCUCGGGCAGCGAAUGGUAUCAGAUAUCCUCCGUACUCCUAGCCGUAAACGAUGGAUAUUAGUCUUUGUCGUAAAUCAGUGUCGUAGCUAAGCGCGUAAGUUCCCGC